UGUUACUGUCAUAGUAGAAGAAGAAAUCGGAGAUGCCGAGUUGCUGUUACUGCUAAGUACAAUUUUUUAAAUUCUCUUUGUCAUUUUUCAUUGUGGCGACAAGUUAUCCCAACACGAGCGGUUCCUGUUCUAUUUUUGUCCAGCAACAGAUUUCAGAUUGCCUCUCGUUCCCUCUUUUGCAUCACAAUCGCAAAACUGUUUGCCACUGUAAAUAACAUUCAACAUUGUCGAUUGUCAGCUCCGACUGUUUUCCGAGCAGAUUAGGUAAAAAAAACAAAAAAGGAUGUUUAAGAACACCCCACUUGGGAUAAUUUUUCAUCUCCUUUAUCAACAUUGUUGACAAGUGAUUGAGUCCGCCAUGUUGUACUGAGCAGCUUUCCUCAUUUCAAUUCUAUGCUCAUCACAUUUUGUCGUCUGACAUCACACUAAAUGGCAACCAGAAAGCAUCAUAAAUGAAUAUUGGACUUUAGAUGCCCAUUGAGGAGGACACGAGUCACCACUCCGCUUCCUCGAAAUGUCAUUCCAACAUGAACGUUUGAGGUCAGCCGCACAUUCAGCGGCUUGAAAGUCGUCGCGACCAUUCGGGAAGUUCCACUGUCGCUCAUUUUGCAAAGUGGUGUCUGCAGCAUGGUAUGCGAUGUGCCAGAUAUGAAGACGAGUGAUCUCAUUUGAAGUCGUGGCCCACGGAGUGAGGAAGCGGACUUUCCCCCUUCUCAAAAAUGGAUAAACGCUGCUAAAGCCUUGCGAGUCACUUCACUCGGCUCAAUGAGUAAAUGGACAAUAAAGGUGCCAUUUUGUGGG